rnacentral:rRNA from 1 species
GAUGAACGCUGGCGGCGUGCCUAAUACAUGCAAGUCGAGCGAACGGACGAGAAGCUUGCUUCUCUGAUGUUAGCGGCGGACGGGUGAGUAACACGUGGAUAACCUACCUAUAAGACUGGGAUAACUUCGGGAAACCGGAGCUAAUACCGGAUGAUAUUUUGAACCGCAUGGUUCAAAAGUGAAAGACGGUCUUGCUGUCACUUAUAGAUGGAUCCGCGCUGCAUUAGCUAGUUGGUAAGGUAACGGCUUACCAAGGCAACGAUGCAUAGCCGACCUGAGAGGGUGAUCGGCCACACUGGAACUGAGACACGGUCCAGACUCCUACGGGAGGCAGCAGUAGGGAAUCUUCCGCAAUGGGCGAAAGCCUGACGGAGCAACGCCGCGUGAGUGAUGAAGGUCUUCGGAUCGUAAAACUCUGUUAUUAGGGAAGAACAUAUGUGUAAGUAACUGUGCACAUCUUGACGGUACCUAAUCAGAAGGCCACGGCUAACUACG